rnacentral:tRNA from 1 species
ACCCUGGUGGCACAGUGGUUAAGUGCUAUGGCUGCUAACCAAAGGGUCGGCAGUUCGAAUCUGCUCCUUGGAA